AAGCACUUUUUUAGAACUCUUCGGAGGGAAGAGAGGGUGACUUCCCGGCGGACGGGUGAGUAACGCGUGGGCAACCUGCCUUACACAGGGGGAUAACAAUUAGAAAUGAUUGCUAAUACCGCAUAAGACCCCAGUACCGCAUGGUACAGGGGUAAAAACUGAGGUGGUGUAAGAUGGGCCCGCGUCUGAUUAGGUAGUUGGUGGGGUAGAAGCCUACCAAGCCGACGAUCAGUAGCCGACCUGAGAGGGCGACCGGCCACAUUGGGACUGAGACACGGCCCAAACUCCUACGGGAGGCAGCAGUGGGGAAUAUUGCACAAUGGGGGAAACCCUGAUGCAGCGACGCCGCGUGAGUGAGGAAGUAUUUCGGUAUGUAAAGCUCUAUCAGCAGGGAAGAAAAUGACGGUACCUGACUAAGAAGCCCCGGCUAACUACGUGCCAGCAGCCGCGGUAAUACGUAGGGGGCAAGCGUUAUCCGGAUUUACUGGGUGUAAAGGGAGCGUAGACGGAAUUGCAAGUCUGAUGUGAAAAUCCGGGGCCCAACCCCGGAACUGCAUUGGAAACUGUAUUUCUAGAGUGUCGGAGAGGCAAGUGGAAUUCCUGGUGUAGCGGUGAAAUGCGUAGAUAUCAGGAGAAACACCAGUGGCGAAGGCGGCUUGCUGGACGAUGACUGACGUUGAGGCUCGAAAGCGUGGGGAGCAAACAGGAUUAGAUACCCUGGUAGUCCACGCCGUAAACGAUGACUACUAGGUGUCGGGAGGCAAAGCCUUUC
rnacentral:rRNA from 1 species